GUGAAUCAUCAAAUUUUUGAACGCAAAUUGCACUCUCCGGUUUUCCGGGAGAGUAUGCCUGUUUGAGGGUCAGCCUAAAAAAAAUCGACAUUGUUGCUGUUAUUUCAUGGUUACUUUCGUCGGAGAUUGUGUUAUCUUAAACCUUUUUUUUUUUUGUUUUAAGCGAUUUAAAAUUUUUUUUCACUAUUCCAUUAACGUUUUUAAUAUUUUUAUUUUUUAUAUUUUUUAGGUUUAUUUAUUUUUUUUUUGUCGUUACCUU
rnacentral:misc_RNA from 1 species